CACGUAGGGCGUGAGCGUUGUCCGGAAUUAUUGGGCGUAAAGAGCUCGUAGGCGGCCUGUUGCGUCCGCUGUGAAAGCCCGGGGCUUAACCCCGGGUCGGCAGUGGAUACGGGCAGGCUAGAGGUAGGUAGGGGAGAAUGGAAUUCCCGGUGUAGCGGUGAAAUGCGCAGAUAUCGGGAGGAACACCGGUGGCGAAGGCGGUUCUCUGGGCCUUACCUGACGCUGAGGAGCGAAAGCGUGGGGAGCAAACAGG
rnacentral:rRNA from 1 species